rnacentral:rRNA from 1 species
CCUACGGGAGGCAGCAGUGGGGAAUAUUGGACAAUGGGGGGAACCCUGAUCCAGCGACGCCGCGUGCGUGAAGAAGUAUUUCGGUAUGUAAAGCUCUAUCAGCAGGGAAGAAAAUGACGGUACCUGACUAAGAAGCCCCGGCUAACUACGUGCCAGCAGCCGCGGUAAUCCGUAGGGGGCAAGCGUUAUCCGGAUUUACUGGGUGUAAAGGGAGCGUAGACGGGGCAGCAAGUCUGAUGUGAAAGGUCGGGGCCCAACCCCGGGACUGCAGUGGAAACUGGUGAACUGGAGUACAGGAGAGGUAAGCGGAAUUCAUAGUGUAGCGGUGAAAUGCGUAGAUAUUAGGAGGAACACCAGUGGCGAAGGCGGGUGACUGGACUGUAACUGACGUUGAGGCUCGAAAGCGUGGGUAGCAAACAGGAUUAGAUACCCGAGUAGUC